rnacentral:rRNA from 1 species
AUACGGAGGGGGCUAGCGUUGUUCGGAAUCAUUGGGCGUAAAGGGCGCGUAGGCGGCCAGGCAAGUCGGUCGUGAAAUCCCUCGGCUUAACCGAGGAACUGCGGUCGAAACUGCCGGGCUUGAGUCCCGGAGAGGGUAGUGGAAUUCCCAGUGUAGCGGUGAAAUGCGUAGAUACUAGGAGGAACACCAGUGGCGAAGGCGGCUACCUGGACGGGUACUGACGCUGAGGCGCGAAAGCGUGGGGAGCAAACAGGAUUAGAAACCCUUGUAGUCC